UCCAUUCUCAAGCCCACUCAGCAGCCCACCUAAAGAAACCCAUUCCAACAAUAUUUUAUAUACAUUACAAUGAUCCAAACAUACGAACAGCAGCCCAAACAAAAUGACCCCUGCGUUCUCUUUCUUCUUCACCAACACGUGAAUGCACUGAAAAACCCAGAAGUGUCAACAACUUGCAAACGUCAACAACGGCUGCUCUCACCAAACUGUUCCAACAGCUCCCACAUCCUUUCUCUGCAACAACCGCCCAUUUUGAUCUUUUCCAUCCGGAUUUUAGGGGAUUUUGGUUGAAUUUCCAUACAACAACAGCUUUUCCUCUUGGGGAAAAAUUUGAAUUGAUUUGAUUGGGGAAUUCCGAUUUUGCCCCAAGUUCCUAUCCGUUUUUUUCUCCCAAAUCUGCCCUAAUUUUCUAGCUAUAUAUACUCUUUUCUUAUUCACUGUAUGGGGCAGAGAGGGAUUUUGGUGGAGUUUGAGUUUAGUUUGGAAGCAAUAGUCGUUUUACAAUUGAAAAAUUUCAAGCGAUUCUCUAAUCCUAGGUUCCAAGGAAAUAUCUGUUUGUAGUCGGUGGUGAACUUCUUGGCUCGCUAUUAGUAUUUGAAAUCUUGUGGUAGAAAAAUCACUGUCCAAAGCUCGUUGUUGUCUUAGUUUCGCUGCACUUCGAAAGGUAAUCCUUAUUUCAAUGCAUGCCUCUUUUGCUCUUCAUAUGUUGGUCGUGAGUUGUUUAAGUGUUAGAUUUUGAGAAUAUUUGGACUUUCUUUUUUUACUGAUGAUAAAUUGGUAGUACGAAUGGUUUGUUCACUCAAAUGCUAUUUUAAUUUUUGUUCUGUGGCCAUGUGUUUUGCAACUAGUGUAAGUUAGUUUCUCCAUGUUCAUAUCUGCUUUCCCUUUUAACCCCAUCACUGCUGAAUAAUAUUGUUGUAUCGUCGCUUACUCUUUUCGAGCUCCAUUUGGUUUGUUAUGGUGUUGAUUUGUGGUCUAUCAUUGUUCAUGUCGUUUCCCAAUAGUUUCAGAAUCUUAGGAAUUAAUGGAUACGUCAAGUUGUAUGUGAUAUUGUGUUUUCUUUUGAAUCUACCUUAGGUGCUAAUCCUUAUAAAAAAAAAAAUGAUAAUCCAAGAGUAUGAACCUUGUCCUCAUUUUAGAUUAUCGAUAGGUUUCACUAUCGAAUUUUGAAUGUUGUAAUUAAAGCAGUGUGAAUCCUGCAAAAGGUUUAGUUUCGCAGCCUCAUUCUUCUGUGCUUAAGCUCGUUUGUCGUAACAAGUUGUUAGUAUGUCUCUGUUGUUGUACACUGAAUCUGCCAAGUUGAACAUGUUGUGCUUGCGUUGGCCUAUCCAAGCAUCUGUCCCUCUGUUGUUCGUUGCGGGUUAUUACUUGUCAUUGUCUUUAAAAUUGCCGAAAUCUCAUAAUCAGUAAAUGGGGUAGUAGCAUGUCAUUUUCUGGAUUUGACAACUUCAUCCUUCCUUCAUCAAGUUUCGUUAUCAUCCAAUAGUCCAAUGUGUCAUGUUAGGAUUGAGUUUAUGUCUCUGCCUCAUUUAGAAGCUUGCCAAAGCAUCAUUUGCUACUUGUAGUUAACUUAGGGACAAGGACGAGAUUUUGUUACCUUCCAAUCCUUGGUUUAUUCCAACACUCGCUUUCCUUCAACCGAAUGCCUAUCCGUGAACUUUUAAAUUAGAUGUCCAGCACUUGAUUAUUAGGUUGCAAAUGCGAUAUUUGUUUAAAUAUAUGCUAAGUCUGCAUUGAUCCAUGUGCUUGAUUGUUGGACUUAAAAGUUCUCAACAUGGCUAUCGCACCAACUGGUCUUAAACAUCGAGGAGUGCACUCACUUGGUUACUAUCAAUGGAAUUUUCUUUUUUUGAAAAUAGGGACAGAUCUUUAACUAGUUAACGUGAAGACUAUUUGUCAUUUUAUCUAUUGUUUGUUGACGUUAACAGUUGGUCUUUCUUCAUUUUUAAAUCUUAGGAUUGUCUUAUUGUCCAGCAUGCCCUGAUCAGAUCUUACUUUAGCUUUAGAUCUAUAUAGCUGAUAAUAUUAAAAGAUCAACCAAACUUUAUAAAAUGCGGCCAAUUACUGGAUUAGUCUAAAACAAAUCAAUUUGUUUGCUUCCUUGAAGUUGACCUCGUGCUAGGCUUAAUGGGUUAUUUUGUAAGAAAUUUAUUCAAUCAAAAGUUUAUUUUAUUUGUUAGUUAGUAUUGGUUUCGAUUGUUGAUUUCUUCCUGUUAGUUUAUCUCGUGAAAUAUGCUUCAAUCUGUUUAAUCUGGGUAUAAGUAAUAUGUGGGAUUGCUAGUUGAAAUCAUUGGUUAGAAUAUGUGUGGAUGUUGGUCUCCAUGUUAUCUUGUCUACUUCUUUUUUGCAAAUUAUAAAUUGGUUUUAAAAUGUAAAGUUUGGUAGCAUGUGUUGCUUAAUAAACAUGCGGCCAUAAUUUUGUCAAGAUUAGAAUAAUAGCUAAUUAGUUUUCAUUAUUGUUGCAAUUAUGUGAUGAUCAAAAUAUAUUCUAUUCCAUAAUAUGAUCAUAGUGAAUUUUGGCCAUGUUAUUUCUCACAAAACAGUUGCUAAGUUUGUUUCUUUUAUCUUUUGUUACAUGGGAACCCUUCUUGUCCCUGGUAUGAGUCCAUCGGGACUCCCCUCUUUUGCAUUUCGUCGGGUUGAAAUCCAAAUUCUCCUUUUACUCGAGUCGGUCUUCACAAUUAUUUGAGUUUCGGAAGCUUCCACAAAACAGUAGCAGAUAUGCAAGUCUCAGAAAGCUGAAAAUAGGCUGAGAUACAGCCUGUAUACAUUAAUAUACAUUGAUAUACAUCGGUAUAUACUCAUAUACAGGUCGAAAAGUGUGAAAAUAUAGGUCUAAGGUGAAAUACAGGGUUUGGAAGCAGGAGAUACACGGAAAGAGCCGAUAUACAUGCCGAUAUACACUGAUAUACAUCAGUUGUAUACCAAAAACGGGUUUUGGUUAAACCCCAAAAAGUAGCAACGAAUUUGGCCCAAGAAAGGCCCAAAUUCAACUUUCUCUCCGUUACUCUUAAAUUAUUUAAUUAUAAUUAUUUAUUGUUUGUUGUUUAUUAACCCUAACUUUAUAAUUGUUCAUUAACUUAGUUAAUUCCCCAAAAGACGAACUAUUUCUUUGUGUUGUUUUGUUUUUUUUUUUUUUUUUUUUUACAGAUCUCAUUUUUAUCAACUCUUGAAUUUUCAUUUAUAAUCUCUAGUUAAAACCAUUUAUUAGUUUAAAAUAGUUUUCACAUUUUGAUUAACCAACAAUGAUUCAAAGUAAAAACCAACUAAUCUAGUUUUAUUCUAAUCACCUGUCUCUAAUUCAAAUGUUUCAAUUAAGGUCCCAUUUUCUUAAAAAAAUAAAAAUUACUAUUUGUUUAACUAUUUUUUCAAAGUUAAUCUAAUAAUGUUAAUUAUUAUUAUAAAAUACUUACUUAGUCAUUUUCUCAAGAAAGUUAGCCAAAGCUUUUAUUCUUCAAUUAAUUUAAAAUAAUUUUCAUGCUUUAAUGUAUUAAAUUAGUUUAAAUUAUUAUUUCAAAGUGAAUCAAUUAAAUUCUAAUUAAUCUAGUUUUAUUAAUAUUUCAAUGUUCGAGUCAAAUGUAUCAUUUUGGAUCCCUUCCUUUAAAAAUAAAAAUGAAAUAAAAAUGCAUCAUUUCUUUAAUUUUUUUUCUUAAUCAAAUAUAUUAUAAAGUUAUUAUUUUUUAUGUUAAAUCAUUAUUAUUAUCCUAAAAAUAGUCGAAUAUAUUUUAGUCAAGUCGCAGGUCAAUCGCAUGUUAGCGGACACUUCGAAUGCUUAAACCCUUCUCGAAGUGUAAAUUGAACCCCGAACCCUCUUUGGUAUUUUCAAAUGAUUUUUUCUGUUUAAAUCUUUGAAAAUUAUAAGUUUUCUUAAAUUUCUUUAAAAAAAUUAAGUGGCGACUCUUUCUAAGUAUAUUUCUCAAAUUGUUUUAUACUUAGAACAUUUCAAAAAGUGAUUUUUCUACACAUAGGAAAAUUAUGGCACAACAGUCAACUAUUCAACUCAAUCUAAGCAUACUUCCAUCAUCAUUCAAUCAUAAAUAAUAAACCCACUUCAUAAGCCAACUUUAGGAAACUUGCCAAGACAUGGGUUCAUGGAAAUUUCUUUCUUAAAACCAUCAAUAGACACCAUUAAUAACAUAAAUCAUCAAAAAAAGCAAUCAAUGCAAGAACCCAUGCUUAGAAUCGAAAUUAGGAUUUUUUGUGUUUUUGGAAGAACUUUGAAUCAUUUGAAUUGAGCUCCUUGAAAGGAAGAAUAAUCAAGGAUAACGGAUCCCCAUACCUUAAUCAUCAAGAACCAAAUGAAAUUGAAGAAGAAAUCAAUAGCCACCAUCAACCCUAGUUCCAUCUUCCAAGCCCUAACUCUCACUCUUACUCUCAC
rnacentral:lncRNA from 1 species